rnacentral:rRNA from 1 species
AUUGAACGCUGGCGGAAUGCUUUACACAUGCAAGUCGAACGGCAGCACGGACUUCGGUCUGGUGGCGAGUGGCGAACGGGUGAGUAAUGUAUCGGAACGUGCCCAGUCGUGGGGGAUAACGUAGUGAAAAUUACGCUAAUACCGCAUACGAUCUAUGGAUGAAAGCGGGGGAUCGCAAGACCUCGCGCGAUUGGAGCGGCCGAUAUCAGAUUAGGUAGUUGGUGGGGUAAAGGCCCACCAAGCCAACGAUCUGUAGCUGGUCUGAGAGGACGAACAGCCAUACUGGAACUGAAGCACGGUCCAGACUCCUACGGGAGGCCGCAGUGGGGAAUUUUGGACGAGGGGCGAAAGCCUGAUCCAGCCAUUCCGCGUGGAGGAUGAAGGCCCUCGGGUUGUAAACUGCUUUUGUACAGAACGAAAAGGUUUCUACUGAUACUAGGAGCUCAUGACGGUACUGGAAGAAUAAGCACCGGCUAACUACGUGCCAGCCGCCGCCGUAA